rnacentral:lncRNA from 1 species
GCAGUUGCCUCGCUCUCCCUUGAAAACACCACAAUGGCCACAGUCGCCCCUGCCCUGCCCGCCGGCUUGGUCACCAUCGCAGGCAUCACCUUUCCGUCCAGCCCAUGCUAACCAACCGUCUCUCCCACGACCCGCUCCACAACUACUCCUCUCCUGCUUCCAUGAAAACGCAAUAUAUUUCAUAUUCACCAAGAAGCAACAGAAGUUAGAUCACUAAUUAAAUCCUAGUAUGAUGAACCAUUUAUGCUGAAAUAGCUACAGAGCAACUCGCGUAGAUUAAAGUUAAAUCUAGCAAUAUAGUACACUUGACACCGGAGUAAACCCCAGAUUAAACAAUGUACUAUGACUUCAGAAGAAUAUACAUUAAUCUGCCAUAUUGCAGGGAAAACAAAUCUGGAGCACAAAGUAGAGAGAAACACCUGUAACACACAUGCACGAUAUAACAUGACCUAAAUGUAAUAAAAUAUAGUUGUAUUUUCUAAUGGAACAAAAUAUGUAUCUGCAGAUGGUACUCAAGAUGCUUCUUUUUUUUGCCUCUCAUUAUUAUUUUUGUUGGAGAAGAAGUUACAUUUGUUACGCACUAAAAGGCACCUGGUAGCAUAUCAUGUCAUCAGAUAAUCUUCUGGACUGUGUUCCUACUUCCUACUGCUUCACUGAUUUCUUGUGGUUGCUAGAAAAAUGAGAUUUGUCAAACAGAAGCUUCCUUCCGCCUGCCACUGACAUGCCACCGACGAUGUGUGAAUAUUACGUGAGCAGCUACAACCUUUUUUUAUGGAUGAGACGAUGAGCAGCUACAAACUUGAUACUGUUAAUGGUAGUCUCAUUCUUCCAAAAAAAAUAGAAAAACAAACUCAUACAUUUCAACACAGCUCCUUCUUCACAUAAACUUCCAGUUUAAAUGAAAAUACUAUUAUUUUCGAUGAAGGGAGCUUUAUUACUUAAAAGGUUUAAGCAUUAUACCCGGCCCCUCUGCAUAAAUGAAAAUACUAAUAGCAACAAAAAAAACUUAAUAAGAAAACUCCGACAAUGUGGACCGAGAUUGACUUGGUAGUAGAUCAAAUCACACGUGUUCAAUCUUUGCUCAAUGAGAACUGAGGAACAACUUUGUAAAAAAAACUACCCUACUCCAUACUGAUCAUUGCAUGACAUCAAUAUUUCUCUUACAGAACUAAACUUAGACAGCCAUGUAAGCUGUAAACAUUGUUCUUGAUUAAACGGACAAAACAUAAAGGAAUUAGAAGUCUCACCAUCAGUAUAUAAUGUUUCCACGCAAUAUUUUUGUCCGAACAACCACAAUCAAUAUCCAUUACAUCCACACUCGCCUCAAGAGGGAGAGUAGACCCGCCUGCACAAUAGAGACUAUAGAACAUUCACAUGAAGUGCUAAAAAAUGUAAUACCAAAAUUUAAUCUAAUGAGGAAGCAGAGCCCGCUGCCGCAUCCAUGGAUGGCCACCAGAGGAGUCUCCAGCGCCGUGCGACGUCGACCUGCCGCAAGGGCCCGAACGGGCAACGGCACACGCAUCCACCCGCUG